UCAACUAUACAUUAUACUACAGGAUUCACUUAUUUAUAAAUUCACCAGCAGUCAGGAGAUUUAAGUUCCAAUGGGGGAGACUUUCUCUAUUUUGUUUUCCCCUGAAUCCCUAGUGCUUACAUAUAUUGAGUACUAAAUAAAAUUACUUGCCAACUGAAUCUUUAAUACAAUUUGGGGACUUGGAACAAUGACAACAAAAAUCAUGCUCAAGUAAUUGCUACAGGAAGCUGUCAAAAAUGUUUGAAAGUCACUGCACAAAAGAAGAGUCACCACUGGUCAGUUUUGCAUUACUGGCUAAAGCAUUCAGAUGCCCCAAGAGUCAAAAACACAAUAACGAAAUAGGCAAACUCUCAUCUUUUUGCCUAUAAGGAAUUAUUCUUGGCCUCUGUUGUACAACUUCAAGUAAAAGGACCUAACCUACUUAGAAGGG
rnacentral:antisense_RNA from 1 species